rnacentral:rRNA from 1 species
UACGUAGGGUGCAAGCGUUACUCGGAUUUAUUGGGCGUAAAGCGCAUGUAGGUGGUUUUAUAAGUCUGAUGUGAAAGCCCUGGACUCAAUUCAGGAACUGCAUUGGAUACUGUAAGACUAGAGUAUGGGAGAGGUAGGCGGAAUUCUUGGUGUAGAGGUGAAAUUCGUAGAUAUCAAGAGGAACAACAGAAGCGAAGGCGGCUUACUGGACCAUAACUGACACUGAGAUGCGACAGUGUGGGGAGCAAACAGG